UCCAGCUCUGAUCUGAGACUCUCUGACCUCUGAAGGAAACUCGGUGAAUCGAGAAGCUUUCCAGAACAUCAGCAUGGUGAUGCUGUGUGAGGAGGAGGAUGAUGAGGAUGAAGAUGAUUCUGAGCAGAGACGAGGGGGAAGCUUGGAGGUCUGCUGCCAAGGGUAGACCACAGGAGCGGAACCAAUAGAGCUACGCGUCAACCUCGACGCGACAAGCGAGCUCUAUGGCGAUACUUCCUGGAAUACGUUCCUCCAAGUGGUUUACACGUGAUGACCUCUGUGCUGUGAUGUUACACACAUGAUGAAACAAUGACUCGAUGUUUUGAUGAAAACUCUUUCUGUGGUGAAUGAAUGAGUGAAUUCUUGUGAUGCUGAUGUGAUUUUUUCUGAAGCAGCUGUUCAGACAGACCCGCCCGAUUUACUGCAGCAUUCGUGAGCUUUCAAACGCGCCAACUGUUGAUUUACUGAAAAUUUACUGAAAAUUUACUGAAUGUUUACUGACGUCUUACAGAAAAACGCGACACUGAAACGCUUCACGCUGAACGUACGUGAACACGGUGGGCUAGAAAUGAUGCAGUACUGUAGAUGGAAAAUCUCCAGUGUUCUUUUCUCUAUGGUAUAUUAAUGAUAAUAUAUAAAGUUUAGGUUUUACUAUUGGUUUUCCAUUACUUGGUUUUGUGGCCGGGGGAUCCACCUAGACUGGAGCGGAUUGGUCGAAAGGAUUCAUAUUAAUGCAAAUACGUUCAACAAUCCAGACGUAAAGAUUUUUUUAUUUAUGGACAAUUUAAUUGGCGAGAAUUUUAACCUAGAUAUUCCGACAUGUGUUACGUGUUACGCUUGACGCUACUGAUCGUCACGUUGUAAAACAACACUUCCGAAAUGUAAAUAACGUCUGCAUUUUUCGAUCUGAUUACAAAGCAGGAUAAAUAAUUCCAAGAUUUGAACAAACAAAGGUUCAUAAUUUAUCUGGAUUGUGAUUUAAACAACAUGCACCUCAAAUUCACUUUAAAAUGCAUAUGUACUGUAUGUAUAUGUUAUGAUUUGGCUCUUCCUGAGACCGCCCUCGCGUCUGCGUCCGCACACCUGACGGGCCGGUAGCACUGCCGAGAUUCGAACCCCGUGUCGCCGAAGUAGUGCGCUAGCGUGAUCUCCCACUGCGCCGUCCGAGCUCUCAUUCAAAACUAUGGAAUAUGUAUGAUAAAGAAUUGUAGCGCUCGGGGGGGGAGUAACGAUGUAUCACGCUAGCUCAGCACUCCGAGAUCUAGGUUCGGGUCUCAGUGGUGAUGUCGAUCAGCCGGGUGUCUGCACAGGCGUGAUCGGUUGUGUCCGGGUGGUGCAAUUUUUGACAUACUCGGUUCCUUGUCUGAAAUGAGCGUGUCUAACGUAUCUGCAUUCAUGUGAACGUUGUACAGGUAGAAUGUUGGAAUGUGGAAUAUGAAGGCCAGUCUGGGUGGGGCCACAGGGAAACACCCCACUCUCUUUCUUUUGUCUGUCCUGUCCAUCUGAUCUGUUCAUUUAAUUUUACAUUUUACAGAAGGAAGGAUGUUUGGGUGAAAAAUGUAAAGAAACAAAAUGAAUGAAUUAAUUAAUAAACAUUAUUUUCUUAAA